rnacentral:rRNA from 1 species
AGGACGAACGCUGGCGGCGUGCUUAACACAUGCAAGUCGAGCGGUAAGGCCUUUCGGGGUACACGAGCGGCGAACGGGUGAGUAACACGUGGGUGAUCUGCCCUGCACUCUGGGAUAAGCCUGGGAAACUGGGUCUAAUACCGGAUAUGACCUGCUCUCGCAGUGGGGGUGGGUGGAAAGUAUUUAUCGGUGCAGGAUGGGCCCGCGGCCUAUCAGCUUGGUUGGUGGGGUAAUGGCCUACCAAGGCGACGACGGGUACGCCGACCUGAGGAGGGUGACCGGCCACACGUGGGACUGAGACGACGGCCAGACCUCCGUACGGGAGCAGCAGGUAGGGAAUAUGCAACAAGUGGGACGAACGC